GAUGAACGCUGGCGGCGUGCUUAACACAUGCAAGUCGAACGAAGCACUUUAUUUGAUUUCCUUCGGGACUGAUUAUUUUGUGACUGAGUGGCGGACGGGUGAGUAACGCGUGGGUAACCUGCCUUGUACAGGGGGAUAACAGUUGGAAACGGCUGCUAAUACCGCAUAAGCGCACGGCAUCGCAUGAUGCGGUGUGAAAAACUCCGGUGGUAUAAGAUGGACCCGCGUUGGAUUAGCUAGUUGGUGAGGUAACGGCACACCAAGGCGACGAUCCAUACCCGACCUGGGAGGGGGACCGGCCACAUUGGGACUGAGACACGGCCCAAACUCCUACGGGAGGCAGCAGUGGGGAAUAUUGCACAAUGGGCGAAAGCCUGAUGCAGCGACGCCGCGUGAGCGAAGCAGUAUUUCGGUAUGUAAAGCUCUAUCAGCAGAGAAGAUAAUGACGGUACCUGACUAAGAAGCACCGGCUAAAUACGUG
rnacentral:rRNA from 1 species